CAAUUUCCGGCCAGUCUAGUUGUUAUCGACGAUAUAACGUUACUACCACCAUGUCGCAGUUUUUUACUAGGUGUCUUCAGGACUUGCCUCAAAUUAAUAUUAAUGAUGUACAUCGAAUUGUGAAAUCAGCCUCCGAGACUCCAGCUAGCAAGAAUGAAAAGGGGUUCAAGAUGUAUAUAGGAAGCUACAUAGACAACCAUGAAGUAUCCAACAAAGAUGCAUUGGCAGGGGAGAUCACCGUGAGGGCUGCCUGCCACAGGUCCAUGAGGAAGAGUGAAAAGCCGCACAGCAUGAGAGAAGUGCUCUGUGCCAUCAUCAGCCCUUCUUUACCAGACAGCGCACUACUCUCAACUAAACAUUCCUGCUGCACCACCAGUUCACAGCUGCACAGACACAGAACAGCGUUGGCACAAGCCAAGAACACUUGUGAGUAUAUCAAUAUCCAUUAAAAAAUGCACCUGAAAAGUAUUCAGCCUAUGAGACGGUAAAUCCAUGUUAAUUAGAGUGUGAAGCCAGGUCCGGUUGAUGGGAUAGAGUCCCGUAAACCUACUAACUCGUGUGCUGAUGGAAUAAGGUACGUUGGAGGUUCCUAGAAUGGUAACAUUUUAGAAAACAUUUUCUUGUGAUUGUAUCCAGAUGAUAAGCCUAAACAGUGGCGUCUUUACGAUGUAAUGACAAAUGUUUGGGACAAAGACUGGGGCGAAAUAUAUAAUCUAUAAAUCUGUAUAUUUUAAUUCAUUUUAUUUGAACUUUCGGGCUUGUGCUGUUUCUGGAAAAAUUACAUGAGUCUUUGUCAUAGUAAUCUCUCCAACCUGAUGUUAAGGUUUUAAAAUGUUUUGCAGAAGUUCUCUCUACAAAACACUCAAUGGAUACAUGCCUGACACCUUCUCUGCGUCUCAGAAACGUAUGCCAACUUUUAUCCACUUACUGCACCUCUUGUGACAACAAAUGUCAGCUGACGUGCCCCUGGUUGAGUCCGCCUUUGGGCCAGUGCAAUGUGGCAGUGUUCUGUCCUAUCAGCUUCCAUAGCCAAAGACCUGUGAAAUUGCCGAUGCUCCUUCUCCACCAAUACUUCCAUUGGAUGGCUACAGGCUUCCCAGUGUGCUUACGUCCUUAGCCAUCAGGAGCAGUUCUACCUCAAGGCAUUAGAGAAAACCUACGAGAUGUCACACAAAGUCGAGGUUGCUACAAGGGAGCAGAGCAGCAGCCCGGAAUGGCAUCAGCUCAGGAAAAUGAGAAUAACAUCCUCUCGUUUCCGAGAGGUUUGCCAUGUCCGGGGAGAGACCUCAGCUGACCACCUAGCUGAGCGGAUGUUCAAGGGAUCUGGUAUGCAGACCAUGGAUAUGAAGAGGGGGCUAGCCAUGGAGCCAGUGGCUGUACAGGGAUCUGGUAUGCAGACCAUGGAUAGGAAGAGGGGGCUAGCCAUGGAGCCAGUGGCUGUACAGGGAUCUGGUAUGCAGACCAUGGAUAUGAAGAGGGGGCUAGCCAUGGAGCCAGUGGCUGUACAGGGAUCUGGUAUGCAGACCAUGGAUAUGAAGAGGGGGCUAGCCAUGGAGCCAGUGGCUGUACAGGGAUCUGGUAUGCAGACCAUGGAUAGGAAGAGGGGGCUAGCCAUGGAGCCAGUGGCUGUACAGGGAUCUGGUAUGCAGACCAUGGAGAUGAAGGGGGCUAGCCAUGGAGCCAGUGGCUGUACAGGGAUCUGGUAUGCAGACCAUGGAGAUGAAGAGGGGGCUAGCCGUGGAGCCAGUGGCUGUACAGGAGUACUGCACACAGAAGAAUGUUAACUUCUUUCCGUGUGGCUUCGUAGUGCACCCAGAUGCUCCGUGGUUAGGAUCCUCUCCAGAUGGCAUCAUAUUUGAUCCCAGUGUAAGACCACACUUUGGACUCUUAGAGGUCAAGUGCCCAAAUGUACCAUGUUAUUUUGACUGCCCUUUCCUGAAGAUACAGAAUGGAGAGCUGAAGUUGAAGAGAUGUCAUGCUUACUACUUGCAGGUGCCAGGUCAAAUCCUUCUCACAGGUUGUAGCUGGUGUGACUUUGUCAUCUGCGCACAGGAGGACAUCCUAGUUGAAAGGAUAUAUAAAGAUCUACAGGUUUCAAAAACUAUAAGAGAGAAGGUUGACCACUUUUAUUUUUACCACUACUUGCAGAAGUGUCUCUCGCACCUGAAUGGAUCCCCUGCAUGGGUGCCAAGUUCUUGUGAAGAAAUCUACAGUAGAAUAGAUUUGUUUAAAAAAAAUGUAUUUCAGCAAAUGUUCAACAGUUAAAUUAAUCAAUUACACAUCUCUAACAUUGUA